UACGUAGGGGGCUAGCGUUGUCCGGAAUCAUUGGGCGUAAAGCGCGUGUAGGCGGUUCGGUAAGUCCGCUGUGAAAGUCGAGGGCUCAACCCUUGAAAGCCGGUGGAUACUGUCGGGCUAGAGUGCGGAAGAGGCGAGUGGAAUUCCUGGUGUAGCGGUGAAAUGCGCAGAUAUCAGGAGGAACACCAAUUGCGAAGGCAGCUCGCUGGGACGUUACUGACGCUGAGACGCGAAAGCGUGGGGAGCAAACAGG
rnacentral:rRNA from 1 species